rnacentral:lncRNA from 1 species
UUUAUAUUGGAGGUUCUCUCUUAUGCGAUAAUCUUGUAUUAUUGGAGGAGCAUAAGCUCUUUUUAUAAGGUGUGGUUCUCUCUCUUUAAAGAAGCUUCCGAACGUUCGCUGAUAAAUGAUUAUCAAAGGAUAAGGAAUUGAAAUCUUCCAUUGGAGUAAUUUCUAAAGUACUAUUUUCCAAAAAGAUAAGUCCAUACUGUAUGAAAUGAAAAAAAUCCGUUGUAAAAAUGACAUAUUACUCGCCAAACUUGGAAUUUAGGAGCUACUAUCUUAGUAUUUCUAUGCAAUGUUAAUUCGAUGAGCUGUCCGAAGACAUUGAAAGCUAAUGGAACCUAGAAAAAAACAUGAUUAAAAUUUUGUCAUAUAUGAUAUUUAUAAUUUUAAAAGACAUAAAUUUUGUGGAAAAAAAUUGCAGGGAACGUAUCUACCUCAAUAACAUUUUCUGUGUUCCAUAAUGGUAACAUUACGAUUUCAACAUCCUUCAUAUCAUUUCCAUGAAUUAGAAUCACGAAAAUGAUCAAUAUAAAAUUUAAUAUAAAAAUCAUAUUGUACACUGUAAAAUAUUCCAAAGAAGAAUAUCACGAAGGAUCAAUCUACUUCUUCAUUUAUAUAUAUGCAUGCAACCGAUAUGCAAUACCCGCAGUAUAUUAUCAUUGCAGAAGUAAGCAUAAUGUUUUUAAAUAUAUGCUGGUGCCUCUAGUAACAAUGUCAUUGCCCUUAACAGUUGAUUAAUAAAUGGAUAAUACAUUUGAAACAUA